AUGUUGAUCGUUAAUUUACACAGAGGAUUCAGCUAUUCGGCAGUACAGAUUUGAACCUAGGCAGUCAGACUCCACAGAUCUUGCUAAUAAAUAGACAUUGUUUUGUGGUGUAAGAUGUUUUGGUCAAAUAACUUUUUUGGGCUUUAGAAGGCUGGAUAUUUAUGUAAGGAGCAUAACAAAGGUAAAUCUAUUUUGGUCUCUUUAGAUUUCUUCGCAAGACUAUGGAAAGGAAGUGGACCUCUACGCUUUGGGGCUAAUUCUUGCUGAACUUCUUCAUGUAUGUGACACUGCUUUUGAAACAUCAAAGUUUUUCACAGACCUACGGGAUGGCAUCAUCUCAGAUAUAUUAUUUGAUAAAAAAGAAGUAAGCACUUGAAAAUCAUCAGAAUUUUAUUUAUUUCAAUGUUUUAUUUCUUACUAUUGACUCUCACUGUCAUUGCAGAAAACUCUUCUACAGAAAUUACUCUCAAAGAAACCUGAGGAUCGACCUAA
rnacentral:sRNA from 1 species